AAAUCAUCUAUGGCCCAAAUCAGUAUAAAUAUUUUGCUGCAAGAGCUCUUAUUUUGUAGAUUAUAUUAAAUAGUACUAAUAAGGAAAAAGGAAGAGUGAAUAUAGAAACUGUUGAAAAAAAGAGGAUUUCAGAACUUUUUUUUUUUUAAUUUCAUUCAAGUAUUCAUCUUCCUUAAUGAGUAUCAAGUGACUUUCAAAACCUAUAGAAAAAAAUUGAUUGUUUUCUACAGGAUAUGGAUCAAAACCCAGAAGCAGAUAAAAAUGGAUGCCUGAUAAUUUCAUAGCCAUCAGUGAAAACAGCUGUCCUGACUUGCAAGAGAGGAACCUGCCCUACUUUAGAAUGAGUAAGCAACUUGUGAACCAGAAGGUCAGGGCUGAGAGCAGGCCUGGCUGUGGGCUGAGUGAAAAGAUGACCUUCUUUGGUGGAUUUCUCUAUUCUCUCUCCUGGGUUGAGAUGGGGAGAGC